rnacentral:sRNA from 1 species
GCCAUCGGUGUCAAGAAUGAGGUUCCCAC